AUUGAACGCUGGCGGCAGGCCUAACCCAUGCAAGUCGAACGAGUGGCGGACGGGUGAGUAAUGUCUGGGAAACUGCCUGAUGGAGGGGGAUAACUACUGGAAACGGUAGCUAAUACCGCAUACCAUCAGAUGUGCCCAGAUGGGAUUAGCUGGUAGGUGGGGGAACGGCUCACCUAGGCGACGAUCCCUAGCUGGUCUGAGAGGAUGACCAGCCACACUGGAACUGAGACACGGUCCAGACUACUACGGGAGGCAGCAGUGGGGAAUAUUGCACAAGGGGCGCAAGCCUGAUGCAGCCAUGCCGCGUGUGUGAAGAAGGCCUUCGGGUUGUAAAGUACUUUCAGCGGGGAGGCGUUACCCACAGAAGAAGCACCGGCUAACUCCGUGCCAGCAGCCGCGGUAAUUC
rnacentral:rRNA from 1 species